GAUGAACGCUGGCGGCGUGCCUAAUACAUGCAAGUCGAGCGAACGGACGAGAAGCUUGCUUCUCUGAUGUUAGCGGCGGACGGGUGAGUAACACGUGGAUAACCUACCUAUAAGACUGGGAUAACUUCGGGAAACCGGAGCUAAUACCGGAUGAUAUUUUGAACCGCAUGGUUCAAAAGUGAAAGACGGUCUUGCUGUCACUUAUAGAUGGAUCCGCGCUGCAUUAGCUAGUUGGUAAGGUAACGGCUUACCAAGGCAACGAUGCAUAGCCGACCUUAGAGGGUGAUCGGCCACACUGGAACUGAGACACGGUCCAGACUCCUACGGGAGGCAGCAGUAGGGAAUCUUCCGCAAUGGGCGAAAGCCUGACGGAGCAACGCCGCGUGAGUGAUGAAGGUCUUCGGAUCGUAAAACUCUGUUAUUAGGGAAGAACAUAUGUGUAAGUAACUGUGCACAUCUUGACGGUACCUAAUCAGAAAGCCACGGCUAACUACGUG
rnacentral:rRNA from 1 species